rnacentral:rRNA from 1 species
UGCAAGUCGAGCGAUGAGGCACCUUCGGGUGUGAAUUAGCGGCGAACGGGUGAGGAACACGUGAAGAAUCUGCCUUCAACUCUGGGAUAACUCCGGGAAACCGGGGCUAAUACCGGAUAUGAGCCUUGAUCGCAUGAUCGGGGCUGGAAAGUUUUUCGGUUGAAGAUGACUUCGCGGCCUAUCAGCUUGUUAGUGAGGUAAUGGCUCACCAAGGCGACGACGGGUAGCCGGCCUGAGAGGGCGACCGGCCACACUGGGACUGAGACACGGCCCAGACUCCUACGGGAGGCAGCAGUGGGGAAUAUUGGGCAAUGGAGGAAACUCUGACCCAGCGACGCCGCGUGAGGGAUGAAGGCCUUCGGGUUGUAAACCUCUUUCAGUAGGGAAGAAGCGAAAGUGACGGUACCUACAGAAGAAGCACCGGCUAACUAUGUGCCAGCAGCCGCGGUAAUACAUAGGGUGCAAGCGUUGUCCGGAAUUAUUGGGCGUAAAGAGCUCGUAGGUGGUUCGAUACGUCGGAUGUGAAAAUCAGGGGCUCAACCCCUGACCUGCAUCCGAUACGGUCGAGCUAGAGUUUGGUAGGGGAGACUGGAAUUCCUGGUGUAGCGGUGGAAUGCGCAGAUAUCAGGAGGAACACCGAUGGCGAAGGCAGGUCUCUGGGCCAAUACUGACACUGAGGAGCGAAAGCGUGGGGAGCGAACAGGAUUAGAUACCCUGGUAGUCCACGCCGUAAACGGUGGGCGCUAGUUGUGCG